rnacentral:lncRNA from 1 species
UCCAUUCUCUUCUGCCGAAGCAGGUAAGCCAAGUGCCAAGUUUUCUCUCUUUAAUCUGCAGGUAUGAUUCUUAAUUAUAUCGGUCAUCCUCUUAAAGGGUCUUGUACGUGUCAUAUGACCUAGUUCUCAAAUCUCAAUUGAUUAAUAAUGUCUUGAUCAAAUUUAGUUCCAAUAUCCCAUCAUCUCAAAUCUCAAUUGAUUAAUGCCUUGAUAGUCUCAAUAUCUCAUCAUCCCAUCACACUGUAUUUCUAUUGAUAUUCUAAUUCUAAUCUCAAUAUAUUACUUGCUUACUAAUUCUAAGCCAAGUGUCAAGUUUUCUCUCUUUAAUCUGUAGGUAUGAUUCUUAGUUAUAUCGGUCAUCCUCUUGAAGUCUUGUACGUGUCAUAUGACCUUGUUCUCAAAUCUCAAUUGAUUAAUGCUUUGAUCAAAUUUAGUCGCAAUAUCUCAUCAUCUCAAAUUUCAAUUGAUUAAUGUCUUGAUAGUCUCAAUAUCUCAUCAUCCCAUCGCACUGUAUUUCUAUUAAUAUUCUAAUUCUAUUAUCAAUUGCUUACUUACUAAUUCUAAACCAAGUGUCAAACUUUAUCUAUUUAAUCUGCAUGUAUGAUUAUUAGUUAUAUUGGUCAUUCUCUUGGAGUCUUGUACGUGUCAUAUGACCUAGUUCUCAAAUCUCAAUUGAUUAAUGUUUUGAUCCAAUUUAGUCCCAAUAUCUCAUCAUCUCAAAUCUCAUGUGUAUCAGCAAGAGGGGCUAAUCCGAACGUGGUUUGUCUCCAUUCAAUUGAGAGGGAAGCCCCCGGGACGCUACGGUGCCUUAGCUGGUUCCCGAUCCUCCUUCAAAAGUGGGAAAGAGAGGCGGAAGGCGCCCCUUCCAAACAAUGAAAAAAAUCCGAGGAACUUCGAAGCUUAUAGGGCCUCCUCUUGUAAGCUAGCUCCAUUCGAUCGAUCGCUUCCGUUCAUAAUAGAUUGGUUGUGAAUUAAUUGAUUAAUGCCUUGAUAGUCUCAAUAUCCCAUCAUCCUAUCACACUGUAUUUCUAUUGAUAUUCUAAUUAUAAUCUCAAUUGCUUGCUUAUUUUAUUGUAGAUAACUAAUGCUUUUGAUGUGUAUAUAUAUAGAUAUAUAGUUGUAAUAGUACCAACAUUUGAUUCAUAGUUAUUAGAUUGUGUUUUUCCGUCCUGUUAGGUUUAAGGAUUAUACACUCGUUUACUGUAUUGUUAGAGCGGUGAUUGUGUGCUUAGUUAUUAGAUUUUGCUUCUAUUCAAGAGCGUAUGGUUCAAUUUGAGUAUGUUUGUUCUUUUAUCUUUAGCUUUUGUUAUCGAAUUUCUAUAAAAUGUUAAAAUAUUAAUUUCUUAAUGAUCAGUUAACUACGUGAUUAUUUGAUAUGUUUUUAAUCUAAAAUGUGAUAUGUAAAAUAUAGAAGAAAAAAAAAUAAAACAAUUUUAAGAAAAAAAUUUCAGUCCACCCCAACCUAAAAUCCUAGGUCCAACAUUGUGUGUGUGUGUAUAUAUUUAUAUAUACAGUCCGUUUCAGAUACGAACGUCCACACCGUAAACGGUGCGGACGUCCGCACCUGAUAACUGUUGUGUAUAUAUAUAUAUAUAUAUAUCAUGAAAUUAGAUUAAUUUAUAAUUAAUUUGAUCAAGAGAUUAACGUAAUCUUGUAAGGCUAUAACAUAUUCGAUCCUAUAAUGCAGUUCAUUGCAUUUAUAACUAGUACUGUCUAUGCAGCUUGUAAUCACAAGGAAGUAAAAGCUAGCGUCAGAGAUAGAUAGCGAAUUAGGGCUCUCUUGCAUACCCAAGAUGAAUUACCUACCCUACCUGGUCAUUGUUUGCCCAUAAUGCAACUCGAUCGAACACGGAACCAAAUUUGCCAACCAUCAAAUUUGGUGGUCANNNNN